rnacentral:rRNA from 1 species
AGCGAACGCUGGCGGCAGGCUUAACACAUGCAAGUCGAGCGCCCCGCAAGGGGAGCGGCAGACGGGUGAGUAACACGUGGGAACGUACCCUUUGGUUCGGAACAACCCAGGGAAACUUGGGCUAAUACCGGAUACGUCCGUAAGGAGAAAGAUUUAUCGCCAAAGGAUCGGCCCACGUCUGAUUAGCUAGUUGGUGAGGUAAUGGCUCACCAAGGCUACGAUCAGUAGCUGGUCUGAGAGGAUGCUCAGCCACAUUGGGACUGGGACACGGCCCAAACUCCUACGGGAGGCAGCAGUGGGGAAUAUUGGACAAUGGGGGCAACCCUGAUCCAGCCAUGCCGCGUGAGUGAUGAAGGCCCUAGGGUUGUAAAGCUCUUUUAGCAGGGAAGAUAAUGACGGUACCUGCAGAAAAAGCCCCGGCUAACUUCGUGCCAGCAGCCGCCGUAA